rnacentral:rRNA from 1 species
GACGAACGCUGGCGGCAUGCCUAAUACAUGCAAGUCGAACGGAUCUCUUCGGAGAUUAGUGGCGGACGGGUGAGUAACGCGUGGGCAACCUGCCCCAAAGAUCGGGAUAACACUUCGAAAGGAGUGCUAAUACCGGGUGUGAUCUAGAAUUCGCAUGGAUUUUAGAAGAAAGGCUUCGGCCACUUUGGGAUGGGCCCGCGUCUGAUUAGCUAGUUGGUGGGGUAAAGGCUCACCAAGCCGACGAUCUGUAGCUGGUCUGAGAGGGCGACCAGCCACACUGGGACUGAGACACGGCCCAGACUCCUACGGGAGGCAGCAGUAGGGAAUCUUCCGCAAUGGACGAAAGUCUGACGGAGCAACGCCGCGUGAGUGAUGAAGGUUUUCGGAUCGUAAAGCUCUGUCGCCAGGGAAGAAUGCUUGGGAGAGUAACUGCUCCCAAGGUGACGGUACCUGAGAAGAAAGCCCCGGCU